AUUGAACGCUGGCGGCAGGCCUAACACAUGCAAGUCGAACGAGUGGCGGACGGGUGAGUAAUGUCUGGGCAACUGCCCGAUGGAGGGGGAUAACUACUGGAAACGGUAGCUACUACCGCAUACCCUCGGAUGUGCCCAGAUGGGAUUAUAUAGUAGGUGGGGUAACUGCUCACCUAGGCGACGAUCCCUAGCUGGUCUGAGAGGAUGACCAGCCACACUGGAACUGAGACACGGGCCAGACUCCUACUGGAGUAAGCAGUGGGGAAUAUUGCACAUUGGGGGCAAGCCUGAUGCAGCCAUGCCGCGUGUAUGAAGAAGGCCUUCGGGUUGUAAAGUACUUUCAGCGAGGAGGCGGUACUCGCAGAAGAAGCACCGGCUAACUCCGUGCCAGCAGCCGCGGUAAUUC
rnacentral:rRNA from 1 species